UACGUAGGGGGCAAGCGUUAUCCGGAUUUACUGGGUGUAAAGGAAGCGUAGACGGUGUGGCAAGUCUGAUGUGAAAGGCAUGGGCUCAACCUGUGGACUGCAUUGGAAACUGUCAUACUUGAGUGCCGGAGGGGUAAGCGGAAUUCCUAGUGUAGCGGUGAAAUGCGUAGAUAUUAGGAGGAACACCAGUGGCGAAGGCGGCUUACUGGACGGUAACUGACGUUGAGGCUCGAAAGCGUGGGGAGCAAACAGG
rnacentral:rRNA from 1 species